AUUGAACGCUGGCGGCAUGCUUUACACAUGCAAGUCGAACGGUAACAGGUUAAGCUGACGAGUGGCGAACGGGUGAGUAAUGCAUCGGAACGUGCCCGAUCGUGGGGGAUAACACUUCGAAAGAAGUGCUAAUACCGCAUACGAUCUGAGGAUGAAAGCGGGGGACCGCAAGGCCUCGUGCGAUCGGAGCGGCCGAUGUCAGAUUAGGUAGUUGGGGGGGUAAAGGCUCACCAAGCCGACGAUCUGUAGCUGGUCUGAGAGGACGACCAGCCACACUGGGACUGAGACACGGCCCAGACUCCUACGGGAGGCAGCAGUGGGGAAUUUUGGACAAUGGGCGCAAGCCUGAUCCAGCAAUGCCGCGUGCAGGAAGAAGGCCUUCGGGUUGUAAACUGCUUUUGUACGGAGCGAAAAGGCUCCCUCUAAUACAGGGGGCUCAUGACGGUACCGUAAGAAUAAGCACCGGCUAACUACGUGCCAGCCGCCGCCGUAA
rnacentral:rRNA from 1 species